AUGGACAGACGGGGGCAUCCGUAUUGCGGUGUUAGAGGUGAAAUUCUUGGAUCAUCGCAAGACGAACGACUGCAANNNNNNNUUAGUCAAGAACGAAAGUCAGAGGUUCGAAGACGAUCAGAUACCGUCGUAGUUCUGACCAUAAACGAUGCCAACUAGCGAUCCGCUGGUGUUGCUUCAUCGACUCUGCGGGCAGCUUCCGGGAAACCAAAGUUUUCGGGUUCCGGGGGAAGUAUGGUUGCAAAGCUGAAACU
rnacentral:rRNA from 1 species